AUUGUGAACUAUACUAAUCAAUAUUGAUUUUCAUGAACCAUGGUAAAGAGUAGUGCAUCAUGGCAACAUGUGCUCAUCCCAGCUUUACCCUGGCUCUUUCAUAAACCCUGAUACGAUUCCAUUUCUUUAACGCAUAGGUAUGAAAAGAUAUGGAAUAAGCUGGGAAAAUGAAGAUCAUUUGCCUGUAAGAAAACUUCAGCAAGACAUAUGUUUCAUACCUCUCGCAUUUGUGGCUCGACAACAGUGCGAUGUAACUUAAAAUGAGUUUAGAAUUAUUGUAGAACCAGAUGAUAAUAAAAGUAGCAUAUGGAGGUUGCCUCCAAAUAUUCGUUUGAA